GGGUGCAAUCAUACCAGCGUUAAUGCACCAGAUCCCAUUAGAACUUCACAAUUAGGCACGCUUGGCCUAGAGUAGUACUGGGAUGGGU
rnacentral:rRNA from 1 species